rnacentral:rRNA from 1 species
ACUCCUGCGGGAGGCAGCAGUGGGGAAUUUUGGACAAUGGGCGAAAGCCUGAUCCAGCCAUGCCGCGUGCAGGAUGAAGGCCUUCGGGUUGUAAACUGCUUUUGUACGGAACGAAACGGCCUUUUCUAAUAAAGAGGGCUAAUGACGGUACCGUAAGAAUAAGCACCGGCUAACUACGUGCCAGCAGCCGCGGUAAUACGUAGGGUGCAAGCGUUAAUCGGAAUUACUGGGCGUAAAGCGUGCGCAGGCGGUUAUGUAAGACAGUUGUGAAAUCCCCGGGCUCAACCUGGGAAAUGCAUCUGUGACUGCAUAGCUAGAGUACGGUAGAGGGGGAUGGAAUUCCGCGUGUAGCAGUGAAAUGCGUAGAUAUGCGGAGGAACACCGAUGGCGAAGGCAAUCCCCUGGACCUGUACUGACGCUCAUGCACGAAAGCGUGGGGAGCAAACAGGAUUAGAAACCCUGGUAGUCCCAUGA